UCGCCUAUGUCACGGAACAAUUGAAGACCGGAAGAAGCUCGCGGAGUAGGGUAACUGCUCUUCCGCUUAGCUUAGCUAAACUGUUUACCAUGGCGGAGGCAGAUCGAUACCUUUGGACCAAGUCUCUCCAACCUACCUAAAUUGUCCUACGACGACGUCCUAAGGAUAGUAAAUCAGCACUUACGUGUCGAAACAUCUAAACUACGCAAAGGAUAUAAGUUAUUCUGGGAGAAGUACAUUUUUAAUUACAUAGACACAUGACUACCACUUCACAGGGGAGAAAAGCGUGCCUCUGUCGUGCACCAGUGUUCUGCAGUCGUGGACCAAGGACACAGGGGAUUCGCCCGGAACCCACUGACCAACUUGUGGUCAGGAAACCCAAGGUUUGGGUUAGGUGUUUUAUUUUAGCACAUACAUGGACACAUACCUCCUGAAUGCCAAGUAAAUAUGGCCGAGGGAUACACGCACCCCAUUAAAUUUAUUUAUUUCUGUUAAAUGUAUAUAUGUAAAUAUUUUAAUCAAAGAAUUGGAAACGAACAUUCCUGAACAUUUGUUUAAGGUAACACACUCUGAGCACCUUUAAAACAAGCCUGAAGACUUUUAUGUUUGCAUUAGCUUUCUGCUACAUCUUAAAUACAUUGCACUUUCUAAAAAGCUUUUUUAACUUUGCCUUUAUUUUCUAUUUUAAUACUAAAAUGCCUUUAACUUUCUAUUUUACUAAUUUCUCUGCAUAUUUUUUCUUUUACUUAUCUAUUUUAUUGUAUGACAAUGUUUGUAUGUGAAGCACUUUGAGUCUGCCCUUAUAAGUGCUAUAUAAAUAAAGUUGCCUUGCCUAACACACAGAACAUUUCAUUUCUUUCUGUUAAAUGUAAAUAUGUAUAUAUGUACAUUUAUAUUUAAAAAAAAGAACUGGAAACGAACAUUAAAUAAACAUUUGAAAAGGACGGAUGGAAACAAACACCAUUUUAAUUUCUUUCUGCUAAAUGUAAACAAAGAACAUUAAUAAACGUUUGAAAAUAGUCAUGUGACGUCAUGUGUGUUUUAAUGUGUAACACUGGGACAUCACCCUUAACAUCUAAAGGACCUUGAUAGUUAGACAUCAAGCAACAAUUUACCCACAGCUGAUUGACAGAGCCUGAAAGAGUCAGAGGAAUGGUCGUGUCCCAGAUAUGAUAUUCUUUGACCCUUCUGAUGGCCCUCUCCACCAAGAUUCUAAAUUGGGCGAUACUCACUGGUGAACCUGGCACCUCUUUUAAAUGGCGGCAUUAUGAGGGUGGCCCCAACUUCAGAAAGCAUCUUGUCGAUGACAAAGCCUUUGUCAGCCAUGCAUGCAUCUCCUGGCUGAAGUAGACUAAGGAUUCCUGACUGCUGUGUGAUUUCUCUGUCUGAUAUGGAACCAGUGUACAGCUUAGAAAUUAAGGUGAUAACUCCACAUGAAGCAAUGCCAAUCAGACCUUUGAAGGUGUUGGUAUUCUUGUAGUGGGAGAAUGUUUCAGACUGGAGGGUGAGUGAUGAGGGUGCCUCACACCUGAUUUCUGUGCAGUCUAGAAUCACUCGCACGUUAGGA